rnacentral:rRNA from 1 species
UACGUAGGUGACCAGCGUUGUCCGGAUUUACUGGGCGUAAAGAGCGCGCAGGCGGUCGUUCAAGUCGAGUGUGAAAGCCCCCGGCUCAACUGGGGAGGGUCAUUCGAUACUGAUCGACUUGAAGGCAGGAGAGGGAAGUGGAAUUCCCGGUGUAGUGGUGAAAUGCGUAGAGAUCGGCAGGAACACCCAGGGGGAAACCAGUCGACUGGGCAGCACCUGACGCUGAGGUGCGAGAGCGUGGGGAGCGAACCGG